AUCUUGGACAUGUAGUCGGACAAGGUCAAGUAAAACCAGUCAAUGCUAAGGUCGAAGCGAUCUCCAAAUUUCCUCAGCCCACUUCAAAGAAACACUUAAUGCGUUUUCUCGGUAUGGCUGGAUAUUAUCGAAAAUUUUGCCCAAACUUUUCAACAAUAACCGAACCGUUGACCAAUUUGCUACGGAAAAAUGUCAAUUUUACUUGGACAACCUCAUGCCAGAACGCUUUUGACCAGCUAAAAGCCCUAUUACAACAUUCCCCGGUUUUGUCCGCUCCAGAUUUUCAACGCCCCUUCAAACUUGCUGUCGAUGCAAGUGAUGUUGCAGCAGGAGCAGUUUUGUUACAAGAAGACAAGGAUGGUGUCGAUCACCCGUUUUUAGCGAUCACAACCCUCUCGUUUUCAUCAGUAAAAUGAAGAACAAGAAUCAACGUUUGCUCCGUUGGAGUCUAUUAUUAUCCGAAUUCAACCUUGUUAUCAAACACAUUAAAGGUAGAGACAACCUCAUCGCUGAUUGUCUCUCACGACCUUAGAACAUUAUUAUCUUAAAGAAAGCUUUUCAAUCUUUCUUUUUUCUUAAGGGGAAGGGUGUUACAUGGUAAUACAUAAUCAUGUAAAUGAUACUUAUUAUUGGUAUAUACUUAAAUAUUAUUAGUUAACUAAUUAGUAAAAUGCCUUACUCAUACAUGCAUGUGUAUGUUAACCACAAUAACAGGAAAGCUUACGUACAGGACGUGGUCAACCUACUGACCACAAACAACUUACAGGAUACAUGGUUAAUCAACUGACCACAAUUUACGCACAAGCGUUUAAUCGUACUUCAUUGUGCAAUCAUAUAUAAGCCGAAAAUCGAACGUUGUAGUGAUGUUGGUGCUUAGUAUAAGUCCACAUCAGAAGAAAGCUCAUGUAAAAGAAGACGAACUAUUUAAGAAAAGAAUCAAAGAAUACAGAUAUAUAUCCUAUCCAUCAACGAAAGAGUCACUGAAAGUCUGAAAGCAGUUGUCUACAUAAGUUUGAACAUUUAAACAUUUAUGUUAUAACGAUUAUAUCAAAAUUAUUAGUAUAUUAAAUAAAUAUUUUAAGAAUUGACAACAACUUCUCCACAAGGUUUUACUCCUUUUGUUACGAGCAAUUGAACCAAAAGCAGCCAUUUUAUUAUUAGUCGGGACGUUCGUAACAGCUGAUUCAAGUAGAUUGAAAUUACUUGGAAACGAUACGAAUACUUUUGUUAAAUUAUGAUAAACCUAUUUCUAUGAUGACAUGCGUUGUUUGUUUUUUGAAAACAAUGAAUUAUAAGACCGUAAUGUCGAAAAUUAAAUAAAAACAUUGAACUUUCUUCUGAACGUUAUGUACUUUUACAAAGGAAACUUUCUUGUUGAUAUCCAGUGUAUAAAGGCGUGUUGACAAAUUUUCACGUAUAGAUUCUAUUGUAUAGUAUAUAUAUCUCAAUAUUGAUAGAUAGAGAUCGAACUUGAAUUGUGAUCGACGUCUAUUUAUAUGAAGGAUGCAUGCUGAUGAUAUUUCAGAGUAAAAAAGGUAUUUAGCUAUAGUGUUACAAACGUUCGUAAACUUACCAAUAGGCAUGAUAGAAUCGUUAGAAAAUCUACUCCCCCAACUAAUUUAUUGAAAAUAAGUAUUUGAAAAUUGCGAUUUUGCAUUAAAACCUGCGUCAAAAACUGCAUGUUCUAUUUUCUUGUGUGGAAUUUGUGUUGAUUGAAUAAACCUUUCUUUCAAUGCUCGUCAAAUGUCUUCAACCAUGCCGAAAGAGAUGCAUAAGCAUGUUGCAUUUUCGUAUAAUUAUAUCUUUUUCCUAAGGAAGUGUUAAUGCAAAAUCAGCUCUUAUCGUAAUUGUACUGUUACGUUACAUUAUUGUAAUUAUUAUUAUAUUAUUUGUUAUAAUAGCAAGAAGUCCUUUAAUUAAUUCAGUCAUCAAGCACGUAAA